rnacentral:rRNA from 1 species
GAUGAACGCUGGCGGCGUGCCUAAUACAUGCAAGUCGAACGAGAGCGACCGGUGCUUGCACUGGUCAAUCUAGUGGCGAACGGGUGAGUAACACGUGGGUAACCUGCCCAUCAGAGGGGGAUAACAUCCGGAAACGGAUGCUAAAACCGCAUAGGUCUUCGAACCGCAUGGUUUGAAGAGGAAAAGAGGCGCAAGCUUCUGCUGAUGGAUGGACCCGCGGUGCAUUAGCUAGUUGGUGAGGUAACGGCUCACCAAGGCCGUGAUGCAUAGCCGACCUGAGAGGGUGAUCGGCCACAUUGGGACUGAGACACGGCCCAAACUCCUACGGGAGGCAGCAGUAGGGAAUCUUCCGCAAUGGACGCAAGUCUGACGGAGCAACGCCGCGUGAGUGAAGAAGGUUUUCGGAUCGUAAAACUCUGUUGUUAGAGAAGAACAAGUGCUAGAGUAACUGUUAGCGCCUUGACGGUAUCUAACCAGAAAGCCACGGCUAACUACGUG